rnacentral:tRNA from 1 species
CGAGACGUAGCUAAAUUGGCAGAGCACUGAAAGCCGGAUACAACUAUGUACAGAAGAUGGCGGUUCGAAUCCGCCCGUCUCGA